GAUGAAGAACGCAGCGAAAUGCGAUACGUAAUGUGAAUUGCAGAAUUCAGUGAAUCAUCGAGUCUUUGAACGCACAUUGCGCCCCCUGGUAUUCCGGGGGGCAUGCCUGUCCGAACGUCAUUGCUGCCCUCAAGCACGGCUUGUGUGUUGGGCCUCCGUCCUCCUCCCGGGGGACGGGCCCGAAAGGCAGCGGCGGCACCGCGUCCGGUCCUCGAGCGUAUGGGGCUUUGUCACCCGCUCUGCAGGCCCGGCCGGCGCUGGCCGACGCGAAAGCAACCAUUUUUUCUCCAGGUUGACCUCGGAUCAGGUAGGGAUACCCGCUGAACUUAAGCAUAUCAAUAAGCGGAGGA
rnacentral:misc_RNA from 1 species